AGGACGAACGCUGGCGGCGUGCCUAACACAUGCAAGUCGAACGAGAUCCAACUUGUGGCAACACUUGUGAAGAUCUAGUGGCGAACGGGUGAGUAACACGUGAGGAACCUACCCCGGAGACCGGGAUAACUGGCCGAAAGGCCAGCUAAUACCGGAUGUCCCCAUCGGAUCGCAUGGUCUGAUGUGGAAAUGGAUUCCGCUCCGGGAGGGCCUCGCGGCCCAUCAGCUCGUUGGUGAGGUAACGGCUCACCAAGGCAUCGACGGGUAGCUGGUCUGAGAGGACGACCAGCCACACUGGGACUGAGACACGGCCCAGACUCCUACGGGAGGCAGCAGUGGGGAAUCUUGCGCAAUGGGCGAAAGCCUGACGCAGCAACGCCGCGUGGGGAUGAAGGCCUUCGGGUUGUAAACCCCUUUCAGCGGGACGAAAUUGACGGUACCUGCAGAAGAAGCCCGGCUAACUACGCGCCAGCAGCCGCGGU
rnacentral:rRNA from 1 species